GACGAACGCUGGCGGCGUGCUUAACACAUGCAAGUCGAGCGGUAAGGCCCUUUCGGGGGUACGACGAGCGGCGAACGGGUGAGUAACACGUGGGUGACCUGCCCUCAGCUCUGGGAUAAGCCCGGGAAACUGGGUCUAAUACCGGAUAUGACCCCAUGACGCAUGUUGUGGGGUGGGAAANCCUUGUGCGGCUGAGGAUGGGCCCGCGCCUAUCAGCUUGUUGGUGGGGUGAUGGCCACCAAGGCGACGACGGGUAGCCGGCCUGAGAGGGCGACCGGCCACACU
rnacentral:rRNA from 1 species